CUGGGGGACUUGAGUGCAGAAGAGGAGAGUGGAAUUCCACGUGUAGCGGUGAANUGCGUAGAUAUGUGGAGGAACACCAGUGGCGAAGGCGGCUCUCUGGUCUGUAACUGACGCUGAGGCGCGAAAGCGUGGGGAGCGAACAGGAUUAGAUACCCUGGUAGUCCACGCCGUAAACGAUGAGUGCUAGGUGUUGGGGGCUUCCACCCUCAGUGCUGAAGUUAACACAUUAAGCACUCCGCCUGGGGAGUACGACCGCAAGGUUGAAACUCAAAGGAAUUGACGGGGGCCCGCACAAGCAGUGGAGCAUGUGGUUUAAUUCGAAGCAACGCGAAGAACCUUACCAGGUCUUGACAUCCUCUGCCACUCCUAGAGAUGGGACGUUCCCCUUCGGGGGACAGAGUGACAGGUGGUGCAUGGUUGUCGUCAGCUCGUGUCGUGAGAUGUUGGGUUAAGUCCCGCAACGAGCGCAACCCUUGAUCUUAGUUGCCAGCAUUAGGUUGGGCACUCUAAGGUGACUGCCGGUGACAAACCGGAGGAAGGUGGGGACGACGUCAAAUCAUCAUGCCCCUUAUGACCUGGGCUACACACGUGCUACAAUGGACGGUACAAAGGGCAGCGACACCGCGAGGUGAAGCGAAUCCCAUAAAGCCGUUCUCAGUUCGGAUUGUAGGCUGCAACUCGCCUACAUGAAGCCGGAAUUGCUAGUAAUCGCGGAUCAGCAUGCCGCGGUGAAUACGUUCCCGGGCCUUGUACACACCGCCCGUCACACCACGAGAGUUUGUAACACCCGAAGUCGGUGAGGUAACCUUUUGGAGCCAGCCGCCGAAGGUGGGACAAAUGAUUGGGGUGAAGUCGUAACAAGGUAA
rnacentral:rRNA from 1 species